CGUAGGUCGCAAGCGUUGUCCGGAUUUACUGGGCGUAAAGAGCUCGCAGGCGGCUGGUCAAGUCCGAUGUGAAAUCUCCCGGCUCAACUGGGAAACUGCAUCGGAAACUGAUCGGCUUGAAGAUGGGAGAGGGUAGUGGAAUUCCCGGUGUAGUGGUGAAAUGCGCAGAUAUCAGGAAGAACACCCGUGGCUAAGGCGGUUCUCUAGUACGGUACUGACGCUGAGACGCGAAAGCGUGGGGAGCGAACAGG
rnacentral:rRNA from 1 species